UGGGGAAUCUUGCACAAUGGGGGAAACCCUGAUGCAGCGACGCCGCGUGAACGAUGAAGCCCUUCGGGGUGUAAAGUUCUUUCGGCAGGGACGAUAAUGACGGUACCUGCAGAAGCAGCUGCGGCUAACUACGUGCCAGCAGCCGCGGUAAUACGUAGGCAGCAAGCGUUGUUCGGAAUUACUGGGCGUAAAGAGUGCGUAGGCGGUUGGCUAAGUUUGGUGUGAAAUUUCCCGGCUUAACUGGGAGGGUGCGCCGAAAACUGGCUAGCUAGAGUGCGGGAGAGGAUCGUGGAAUUCCUGGUGUAGCGGUGAAAUGCGUAGAUAUCAGGAGGAACACCUGAGGUGUAGACGGCUAUCUGGACCGGAACUGACGCUGAGGCACGAAAGCGUGGGGAGCAAACA
rnacentral:rRNA from 1 species